UGCAGUGACCCAGUUCCACCCUAAGCCUCACCUGCUCCAUAGAACCUCAGAAAGGAUGUAUAAAAGCCAACAAAAUGUAUGUCAUUAGCCUUCUGAGAAGGUGGUGGAGAGAAACCCAAGGUCUGGGGGAGUGAAGAGUGAACGGCCCCCAAUCCAGUCAAGGGGAGACAGGCGUUUUCCCAGGAGAACUGCUAUGAAGUACAAUGAUUAGUCCUGCUUCACAGAUGAGGGAGCAAAGGCACAGCAGGUCAGGGAACUUGACCCCACCCAACAAAACAAAACCCACAGCUAAGAAAGGGAGAGCUGAGAUGCGCGCUGACCCAAAGCUCCGCAUCUGGACCACCGUGUGAACUGCCUCUGGGUGCAGCGAGCAGAACUAAAGUCAUUCUUGGUUCCUUCUCAAAAUGAGAUCAUUCUCCAACUUCCCGAAAAGGAUACAGCCAAAGAGAACGACAACUUGUUUUCAUUCAGGAGGAGAUGGAUGCCUGGCAAACCAUGAAUCCUGCCUCAGAAUGUCUCUCUGCAACCAUCAAGGGAACCGUGUGGAUCAAGACCCUAGGAUGGUGACUGGCAAAUAUGGGGACUCAGCAAACAGGGCAUGUGUGCACGUGCAGACACACACUCCGGCAGACCUGAUGGCACUAAGGGCCUGUCAUUGCAGUUCCUAAAAGACCCAAUCUCAUUGGGGGUGCUUGUACCCUCAAGCUCUCAAACAAGGUUGUCAGAGAAAAAAUAUAUUGUUCCACACUGAGGAUGCUGAAUGAAUGAAUGAA